rnacentral:rRNA from 1 species
AUUGAACGCUGGCGGCAGGCCUAACACAUGCAAGUCGAACGGUAACAGGAAGCAGCUUGCUGCUUCGCUGACGAGUGGCGGACGGGUGAGUAAUGUCUGGGAAGCUGCCUGAUGGAGGGGGAUAACUACUGGAAACGGUAGCUAAUACCGCAUAAUGUCGCAAGACCAAAGAGGGGGACCUUCGUGCCUCUUGCCAUCGGAUGUGCCCAGAUGGGAUUAGCUUGUUGGUGGGGUAACGGCUCACCAAGGCGACGAUCCCUAGCUGGUCUGAGAGGAUGACCAGCCACACUGGAACUGAGACACGGUCCAGACUCCUACGGGAGGCAGCAGUGGGGAAUAUUGCACAAUGGGCGCAAGCCUGAUGCAGCCAUGCCGCGUGUAUGAAGAAGGCCUUCGGGUUGUAAAGUACUUUCAGCGGGGAGGAAGGGAGUAAAGUUAAUACCUUUGCUCAUUGACGUUACCCGCAGAAGAAGCACCGGCUAACUCCGUG